rnacentral:lncRNA from 1 species
GAAAUUCAUCGGAGUUGGCCGUGACCGCGCCGCCAGUGGGUCUCUCCUCCGUUGCCCGAUUCAGGUCCAAGGGGGUCGACGGUCUCCCCUUCGUUUCACUUCUCGCGGGUUGAGAGAGCUUGGCUCUCAAGGACGCCGUAACAGAGGCCGAAGGGCCCAUCGUUUUCCGUCGUCGGCCGUUGGCCAAGGCGGCGGCGCGACCAUUUCAUUACCAGAGACCAUAAGUCAGAGGUGUGGGGAGUGUUGAGAGAUUGUGAGGUUUUUUU